AUCUGAAAUCAGGUGGGAUUACCCGCUGAACUUAAGCAUAUCAAUAAGCGGAGGAAAAGAAAAUAACAAUGAUUUCCCCAGUAACGGCGAGUGAAGAGGAAAGAGCUCAAAGUUGGAACCUGCUUGGCUUAGCCAAGCCGGAUUGUAAACUGUAGAAGUGUUUUCCUGACACGCCAGGCAAAAAAGUCCUUUGGAACAGGGCAUCAUAGAGGGUGAGAAUCCCGUCUUUGGCCUGAGCAGUUGUCUUUUGCGAUACACUUUCAAAGAGUCAGGUUGUUUGGGAAUGCAGCCUAAAUUGGGUGGUAAAUCUCACCUAAAGCUAAAUAUUGGCGAGAGACCGAUAGCGAACAAGUACCGUGAGGGAAAGAUGAAAAGAACUUUGAAAAGAGAGUUAAACAGUAUGUGAAAUUGUUAAAAGGGAACCGUUUGGAGCCAGACUGGCUUGGCUGUAAUCAAUCUGGGCUUUUGCCCGGAUGCACUUGCGGCCUAUGCCUGCCAACGACAGUUUUAUUUGGGGGAAAAAACCAGGCGGAAUGUGGCCCCUUAGGGGGUGUUAUAGCCUCUUGGAAAAUACCCUGGAUUGGACUGAGGAUCGCAGCGAAUGCCAUUAGGCGAGAUUGCGGCGUGCUUUCGCUGAUAAAUGCUAGAAUUUCUGCUUCGGGUGGUGCUAGUGUUUAAAGGUGGAACCCGCGCUGUAU
rnacentral:rRNA from 1 species